UGGCGGCGUAGCUCAGCUGGCUAGAGCGUACGGUUCAUACCCGUAAGGUCGGGGGUUCGAUCCCCUCUGCCGCCAUC
rnacentral:tRNA from 5 species